rnacentral:rRNA from 1 species
GAUUAACGCUGGCGGCGUGCCUAACACAUGCAAGUCGAGCGGCAGCGAGUUUUACACUGAAUUCUGAAAGCUUCUAGUUGAAAGAGAAGAUUUAUUCAAGAAUUUUGUGUAAAAUGUCGGCGAGCGGCGGACGGCUGAGUAACGCGUGGGAACGUACCCCAAAGUGAGGGAUAACGCAUCGAAAGGUGUGCUAAUACCGCAUAUGGUCUUCGGAUUAAAGCCUUCGGGCGCUUUGGGAACGGCCUGCGUAAGAUUAGAUAGUUGGUGGGGUAAUGGCCUACCAAGCCGACGAUCUUUAACUGGUUUGAGAGGAUGAUCAGUCAGACUGGAACUGAGACACGGUCCAGACUCCUACGGGAGGCAGCAGUGAGGAAUCUUCCACAAUGGGCGAAAGCCUGAUGGAGCAACGCCGCGUGCAGGAUGAAGGCCUUCGGGUUGUAAACUGCUUUUAUAAGUGAGGAUUAUGACAGUAACUUAUGAAUAAGGAUCGGCUAACUACGUG